AUUGAACCCUGGCGGCAGGCCUAACACAUGCAAGUCGAACGGUAACAGGAAGCAGCUUGCUGCUUCGCUGACGAGUGGCGGACGGGUGAGUAAUGUCUGGGAAGCUGCCUGAUGGAGGGGGAUAACUACUGGAAACGGUAGCUAAUACCGCAUAAUGUCGCAAGACCAAAGAGGGGGACCUUCGGGCCUCUUGCCAUCGGAUGUGCCCAGAUGGGAUUAGCUUGUUGGUGGGGUAACGGCUCACCAAGGCGACGAUCCCUAGCUGGUCUGAGAGGAUGACCAGCCACACUGGAACUGAGACACGGUCCAGACUCCUACGGGAGGCAGCAGUGGGGAAUAUUGCACAAUGGGCGCAAGCCUGAUGCAGCCAUGCCGCGUGUAUGAAGAAGGCCUUCGGGUUGUAAAGUACUUUCAGCGGGGAGGAAGGGAGUAAAGUUAAUACCUUUGCUCAUUGACGUUACCCGCAGAAGAAGCACCGGCUAACUCCGUGCCAGCAGCCGCGGUAAUACGGAGGGUGCAAGCGUUAAUCGGAAUUACUGGGCGUAAAGCGCACGCAGGCGGUUUGUUAAGUCAGAUGUGAAAUCCCCGGGCUCAACCUGGGAACUGCAUCUGAUACUGGCAAGCUUGAGUCUCGUAGAGGGGGGUAGAAUUCCAGGUGUAGCGGUGAAAUGCGUAGAGAUCUGGAGGAAUACCGGUGGCGAAGGCGGCCCCCUGGACGAAGACUGACGCUCAGGUGCGAAAGCGUGGGGAGCAAACAGGAUUAGAUACCCUGGUAGUCCACGCCGUAAACGAUGUCGACUUGGAGGUUGUGCCCUUGAGGCGUGGCUUCCGGAGCUAACGCGUUAAGUCGACCGCCUGGGGAGUACGGCCGCAAGGUUAAAACUCAAAUGAAUUGACGGGGGCCCGCACAAGCGGUGGAGCAUGUGGUUUAAUUCGAUGCAACGCGAAGAACCUUACCUGGUCUUGACAUCCACGGAAGUUUUCAGAGAUGAGAAUGUGCCUUCGGGAACCGUGAGACAGGUGCUGCAUGGCUGUCGUCAGCUCGUGUUGUGAAAUGUUGGGUUAAGUCCCGCAACGAGCGCAACCCUUAUCCUUUGUUGCCAGCGGUCCGGCCGGGAACUCAAAGGAGACUGCCAGUGAUAAACUGGAGGAAGGUGGGGAUGACGUCAAGUCAUCAUGGCCCUUACGACCAGGGCUACACACGUGCUACAAUGGCGCAUACAAAGAGAAGCGACCUCGCGAGAGCAAGCGGACCUCAUAAAGUGCGUCGUAGUCCGGAUUGGAGUCUGCAACUCGACUCCACGAAGUCGGAAUCGCUAGUAAUCGUGGAUCAGAAUGCCACGGUGAAUACGUUCCCGGGCAAU
rnacentral:rRNA from 1 species